GAUGAACAGUGAUAUGGAAGUGUAAGCCAAAGAAACUGUAUCCUUCACAAGUUGCUUUGGUCAUGGUGUUUUAUCUUAGCAAGAGUAACCCCGAGAGACCCUCUAACCCCAAUCCUGACCUGGAUCAGGACCCAGACUUUAGAUCUGUAGACUGAAGACUUCCAAGUCUUCAGACGCUGUAACAACCAGGUGAUAAUUGUAGAGACUCUUUCAGGCUGAGGAGACACUGGAUACGCUGAGGUGUUGAUCUCUCAGGUGUUGAUUUCUCAGGUGUUGAUCUCUCAGGUGUUGAUCCUCAGGUGUUGAUCUCUCAGGUGUUGAUCCUCAGGUGUUGAUCUCUCAGGUGUUGAUCUCUCAGGUGUUGAUCCUCAGGUGUUGAUCUCUCAGGUGUUGACCGCUGUGCUCAGGAGUAUUCAGCUCUAAGUAACUCAACAGCCUCUUGCAGCUGGACGUUGCCCUUUACUUAGAGGCAGCUGGGCAGGUUUUGUUUUUUCUUAAAAACUGUUCAUUCUCUUCACAGAGAAUGGCUGUGUUCUUUGGUUUCGUGCUGUGCCUAUUUACACUUGUAAAUAUCAACAUGUACAGAUACAUGUGCAUUUACAGCAACCCCCCCAUACACCUUCUAGAUCAACUUUCACAAGACAACCUCAAAUCACCACUUUUCCUACUCCCAGAGGAGUCCUGUCUCUAAUACUCUUGGUUGCAUGCACACACUAAAAAGAGCUGCAGUCUAUACUCCCUGGUCUUCAUUGAUGAAGAUCUGUCCCACUCCUACAGGGUGGGUCCCAGAGUCACUUGGAAAGAAUACUCUCCAGCCUGUUGAGCUACCUGCAGGCGGUGCGGUGUGUUCCAGGUCCCUAGUUUUGGUGACCUAGUUCCACCACUCAGCACAGGCUUUUGGUGAUUCAGCUGUCUUUGAGUCAUUUCUAUUCCUCUAAGUUACACCUUGGUCAUAUCCUGUAUGUAGCCCCAGUAAAACUCAUUGGCCCACCAAACCGGUCUUUGAUGGUCUCUGUACUGUGGUCUGUUGUGGGUUCCCUCUGUGGACUGAGUAGACAUGUGUGUUGCACCUUCCCGAGAAAAGUCUUGUCACACAACACAAGUUAGACAACUGAAGCUAACUAUGACCCGUGGUCUAGGCCAAGCAGCUCCCAGAGUUCUAUGCUCUGGAAGCCCUCUUUGCCCUCUUUCCACAGCUCAUCUACUGAACGUUGCCUGUGGAUACUGAUUAUCGGUACUCUAGGUCUCACGAUUCUGGGUGUCUCCAUUACAAAUGAAUAUGAUUUCCCUUGAAGAAGGACUUACAGCUCUGUGGUAGCACUUUGACAUGAUUCUCUAUUGUCAGCCAGCGUGCUGACCACAGAGUAGAGCAAACAUGAAGUUCACGAUGUGGAGGAAAAUUCCAACAGAACAGAGUCCAGGACUUCCUGUGGCCUUAAAGCUAGAAUUGUUCACUCUGCCCAGAGCAACGGGACUCGAGCCAUAGAACUUGCAGCUGUUACUAGAGUUGUGUGGGCAGCGUGCACAACAUCUACAUGUCUCCCACUGCAAACCUAACACACCUAAGGAGUUUCUUCUCAAGCCGUGCUUCCACUGAACACAAGAGAAGCUGGAUUCAGCCAGUUCCUUCAGUCAAGAAACAUCGAUAGCUUCUUGGUUCUGAUGACAUGACCUCCGAGACUGCAAGCCGAGAGUAGAGCAAGCGUGGAUGUGACAGCUGAGCACUCUUGGUUCUGACACAAGUUUCCUGGGAAACCGAGAGCUUGUGAAACUGUCAGUCAAGGAUCCCUCUGAGUGUGUGCAGCUCUCUCUGCUCCCCUGACAGCUUUCUUAGGACUUGGAACCUAAACUGGAAAAUCUCUUCAAACAGUGUGACUGGUGGCUCUACUAAAGUUUCCCUGCAUUUGAUUAGACUCCCGGGAGGAACAGGGAAGGGGAAGGAAUACCUCUUAGAACACAGUGUACUCUAAGAAAUUGGGUGACCUUGGGGCCUAUGCUGCACUCAGAUUUUAGUCAUGACUGUCUUUAUUCUGGGUGUUCAGUCCUCCAGAUGCCUACCUGAUAUUUCUUUUUUGGUUCCUUAUGAACACCAGUAAGGGUGCCCACACGGGAGUGCUCCUGAUGCCUGGACACACUCUCCCUUUCUGAAUGUUGACUCUACAAUCCUAACUUGCUAAGCAGGUUGAAAACAAGGUCUCAAGUCCUAACACACUAUCCUGACUGGCCACGACCUAUAGGAUAGCAGCAACUCUGUAUUGUUGGAAUACACCAAACACAUGGCUCUGGAGUUUCAGACGCCUACAAUUUAUGGGUCUGUUCAUCACCGGGGAAGUUUGCUUCCUGUGGAGAAAACAGAAAUAAAACAUACCCUAGGAACUGAGUUAGAACUGCGUGGGCGUGCUCUGCUCUGCUGUACGCUUUGGUGCUGCCCACUAGGACUUGCUCUUUCUGGAGAACACAGAGUCUGGAGGAAGCGCAGAGAGCUCAGAUCUUGCCCGGGAUUGUCACUUCAUGGUCCCAGUGUUCCAGACACCUCUGCAGUGCUUACAUAGCACAGACUGCUUCGUGGGUGAAGCAGAGUAAAGUUAUGAGACUAAAAGUAUACAGAUAUUUGAUGACACGGAAAGUAAAAUACAGAAGAUGAGCACUCUCUUGCUGUGGCUUUGCCCUUUUUAAAAAAUAUAGACAAAGCAAGUCAGCCCUAAUAUGUGUGCAUCAGGACCUCCAAAACCUGUGACAUCACAUAGGUGGGACCUACAGACCUGUUACCAAGACAACAGCUACCAUGUUCCCAGAAUCCACUUGGCUUUCCUCCCACCUUUACCUAUGUUACUUCAUUAUCUAUACAUAUAAGGGGAAUGCCCCUCCCCCCCUUUUUCCCCUUCUCUUUCUGCUGCCCCUCCCCUACCCCACCUCUCCCAAUAAACCUCUUACAU